GCCGCAGGCUUUGUGCGAAGUGAAUGGAUCCUGAAGGCUGUGACCUCAUCAGUGGAUCAGUUCAUUCAUGAGCUCAUAAUUUAGUGGGAUAUUGAGUUCAUAAUUGAGUGGGAAACGUGUCACUUAGGAAGUGAGGCCUACUUGAAGGGAACUGUACUUAGGAACGCGCCUUGGAGGACCAAAUCUUGUUCCUUGGCUCCUUCUGUCUGUCGCUUUUUCUCUGGCCCUGUCCUCUGUGAGGUGAGCUACUUUGCUCUGCUGCGCCCUCCCCACCAUGGUGUUCUGCCAUAUCACAGGCCAAAAACAAGGAAGCCAGGUGACCAUGGAAUGAAGCCCGGAGCCAAAGGAACCUAUCCUCCGCAAGGUUGGUAUUCUUGGGUAUUUUGUGACAAUGAUGGAGAGCUGAAUAACCAGAAAGUUACUUCAUUUUCUGUAUUUCUGAUUUUUGUUUUUCAUCUGAGGAUGGAAAUGUUGAUGGUUCCUUCCUCAAAGUGUUAACCAUGAAGAACAAAUGAAACGAACUUUUUAAAAUGCAGAAGAGCUCUCCUGUUGUGAAACUGUUUCCUCCAACAAUGAAACAUUCCAUGGUGGAGGGGAACUCUUUAGGACAGGAAGGCAAACAACUCAGGAAGCUUCAGGAAGUCCCUGAAACCGACAGGAUUCUUCAGGCCCCUCCUCGCCAGGGGAAGAAGGAGCCAUUCUGCAAAGAGGACUCUCACGUUAGCAAAGUUGCCGAGAAGAUUUUGAGACCAGACCAGCGGCCUGGAAGAGGUGUGGACCAGCUGAGGCAUCUGGAGAAGAUACCCUCCAACCUGCUGAGCUGCCUGCAGGCUGUGCAGUGUGCUCCAGGUUCCCAGCUCGUGUGAGCUGUCAUGUCAGUUUUAUAAGCCGUGCCGGGUUGGGCUUAUUUCAGUUACUUCUGCUCCUUACUAAAAAGCAGGCACAGAAUGAGGGAGAGCAAAGGCCACCUGGCCAGGGUCCAGCCUCUUCCACUGUUUGUCCAGGUCUGUGCAUGUGAGUGCAGGUUCCUGAGGAUUCCAGCAGAGGGCGUCGGGUCCCUUGGCGCUGAAGUUACAGGAUUGAAGGUCACCUUACUUCAAGCUUCUGUCCUGCAGAUGCCUCAGCAUGGACAUGAGUAUGUGUGUCCAUGCUUACGUGUGUGAACACACAUGCUGAAGAUCUGUGGUCUCUUGACUGAAGUCUGCUUCCUCGUCUAGAGCAUCAGAUGACUUUCCUUAUUUUCCCAGAUGCACACCCACUAGGACAAGCUGAAUUUUCAUCUGAGUGGAUAGUAAUGGCGUACCCGACAACACACUCACUCUCCCAACCUUACUCACUUGUUAAAAGUCUGGGCGUUGAGCAUCCCUCAUGACAGACAGUAAGCACACCAGACACAGAGGCACGGAGGGCGGUUACAGUCAGUGUUGUGUGGAUUAUUAAUGACGGAGCUCAGUGCGAAGCCUUCCUCAUCUCUUGUGACCAGCAUCUCCCCCUUUCUACAGUCCUAGUCCCUGGGAUGCUUGACUGACAGCUUCUGUCCCUUGUGAAUAUUGAAGUGUUCGGUCCUUCACCUGUUCACUUCCACAGAUGAGAAGAUAUGUGCUCCAAAUCUUGUUUCUCCACUAACUAGACAAAUGGACGAGGCAGGUACGAGUGCAACACAAUACCAGCGCUUGGGCUUUGGAGCGAUCGGGUGAGCAGGGUUGGGAUGUUAGUCUGUGCUGCUGUAACAAAUAAUUGAGGCGAAUCGUCUUGAAAAGAAGAAAGGUUUAUUUGGGCUCACAGUUUUGACCAUCUCAAUGCACAGUCGGGUGACCUUGUUUCUUUACACCUGUGGUGAGGCACCAAGCCCAUCACAGUGAGGAGAGCAAGAGAGAGGGAGCUUCUCACCUCAUGAUGGAUGGGGCACAGCGAGACAAGGAGAGGCGGCCAGGUUCUCCUUCAAGGGCACGCUCUCGGUGACCUGAUGUGUCUGUCCCUCUGCUGGGCCACAACUAAAAGCCCCACUACUUACCACACACUGGUGACCAUGUCUGAAGCCCAUGGGCCCUGGGGGAACACUUACUACGCUAUGGAAAUCAGCUAGCGGUCCUGAUGAGGUGGCUCAGAGCAUGGAGGUGAUGGCCAUCAAGGCUGAACACCUGAGUUCAGUCUCUGGUGCUGCAAGCCACAAAAAUAUACAAAGCAGGAUUUCAGCUGAUUAUGACAAAGCUAAUACCUGGAAGGAGCUGAGGGCCUUCCAGAGGU